rnacentral:piRNA from 1 species
UUAUAUAAUUACAACAACAAUGGAGCACCGU